AUUGAACGCUGGCGGCAUGCCUUACACAUGCAAGUCGAACGGCAGCGCGGGAGCAAUCCUGGCGGCGAGUGGCGAACGGGUGAGUAAUACAUCGGAACGUGCCCAAUCGUGGGGGAUAACGCAGCGAAAGACUGUGCUAAUACCGCAUACGAUCUACGGAUGAAAGCAGGGGAGUCGCAAGACCUUGCGCGAAUGGAGCGGCCGAUGGCAGAUUAGGUAGUUGGU
rnacentral:rRNA from 1 species